UGGGGAAUAUUGCACAAUGGGCGCAAGCCUGAUGCAGCGACGCCGCGUGAGGGAUGACGGCCUUCGGGUUGUAAACCUCUUUCAACUACGACGAAGCGUAAGUGACGGUAGUAGUAGAAGAAGGACCGGCCAACUACGCGCCAGCAGCCGCGGUAAUACGUAGGGUCCGAGCGUUGCCCGGAAUUACUGGGCGUAAAGAGCUCGUAGGUGGUUUGUCGCGUUGUUCGUGAAAACUCACAGCUUAACUGGGGGCGUGCGGGCGAUACGGGCAGACUGGAGUACUGCAGGGGAGACUGGAAUUCCUGGUGUAGCGGUGGAAUGCGCAGAUAGCAGGAGGAACACCGGUGGCGAAGGCGGGUCUCUGGGCAGUAACUGACGCUGAGGAGCGAAAGCGUGGGGAGCGAACA
rnacentral:rRNA from 1 species